rnacentral:rRNA from 1 species
UACGUAGGGUGCAGGCGUUAAUCGGAAUUACUGGGCGUAAAGCGUGCGCAGGCGGUUUCUUAAGUCAGAUGUGAAAGCCCCGGGCUUAACCUGGGAACUGCGUUUGAAACUGGGAGACUUGAGUGUGGCAGAGGGGGGUGGAAUUCCACGUGUAGCAGUGAAAUGCGUAGAUAUCUGGAGGAACACCGGUGGCGAAGGCGGCAUCCUGGACCAAUUCUGACGCUGAGGAGCGAAAGCCAGGGGAGCAAACGGG